UAUAUGUCAUGCAGAGGUUUCUGAGACACCAAGGAGCAACACUAAUAACAACAGACAAGGUAAUUCUAAGCUCAGGCCCUGGACAGAUAAAUUAGCAGCUCAACAUUUUUCUGAACAAAUCAGAAUCUAAUAUAUAACAGAUUCAGUAUUUUAAUAAACCCCACAACCUUGGAUUUCUAAUUGCCUACCACUUACUAGAAUACAGUGGACAAACGCACAAUAGCUUAGAAUUCAGGAAUCAAAAGUUACACAGCAAUGGUUUUGCACAUAAUUGUCUAAAACCAAGACAACAGGAAUGGGAGAGGGCAACCCUCAAUAACACUUAACGCAGAAAGCUUGAUUCAGCCUUUCAGUGGUCAGGGUUCCAUUGCAGGGAGAAGAACUUCAUCUGGCUAGUUGAAGCAGAACUGUGUUUAUUUCAGUGUGUUAAAUGGUUACAGGGCAUCAGGAGGGCUAACGAA
rnacentral:lncRNA from 1 species